rnacentral:rRNA from 1 species
AUUCCAGCUCCAAUAGCGUAUAUUAAAGUUGUUGCGGUUAAAAAGCUCGUAGUUGAACUUCUGCAGGGGACGACCGGUCUACCCACUGGGUUAGCAUCUGGCUCGGCCUCGGCUUCUUUCAGGCACAGGCUGCUGCACUUGAUUGUGUGGUGCCUACGUCUGAACCUUUACCUUGAAUAAAACAGAGUGUUCAAAGCAGGCUUUCGCCUGAAUGUAUCAGCAUGGAAUAAUUUUGUAGGACUUUGGUUCUAUUUUGUUGGUUUCUAGAGCUGAAGUAAUGGUUAAUAGGAAUAGUUGGGGGCAUUCGUAUUUAACUGUCAGAGGUGAAAUUCUUGGAUUUGUUAAAGACGAACUACUGCGAAAGCAUUUGCCAAAGAUGUUUUCAUUA